rnacentral:rRNA from 1 species
AGAGCGAACGCUGGCGGCAGGCUUAACACAUGCAAGUCGAGCGGGCGUAGCAAUACGUCAGCGGCAGACGGGUGAGUAACGCGUGGGAACAUACCUUUUGGUUCGGAACAACACAGGGAAACUUGUGCUAAUACCGGAUAAGCCCUUACGGGGAAAGAUUUAUCGCCGAAAGAUUGGCCCGCGUCUGAUUAGCUAGUUGGUGAGGUAACGGCUCACCAAGGCGACGAUCAGUAGCUGGUCUGAGAGGAUGAUCAGCCACAUUGGGACUGAGACACGGCCCAAACUCCUACGGGAGGCAGCAGUGGGGAAUAUUGGACAAUGGGCGCAAGCCUGAUCCAGCCAUGCCGCGUGAGUGAUGAAGGCCCUAGGGUUGUAAAGCUCUUUGUGCGGGAAGAUAAUGACGGUACCGCAAGAAUAGCCCGGCUAACUUCGCGCCAGCAGCCGC